GAUGAAGAACGCAGCGAAAUGCGAUAACUAAUGUGAAUUGCAGAAUUCCGUGAAUCAUCGAAUCUUUGAACGCACAUUGCGCUCCCUGGUAUUCCGGGGAGCAUGCCUGUUCGAGCGUCAUUACAACCCUCAAGCUCUGCUUGGUGUUGGGCCCCGCCGCCCCGGCGGGCCCUAAAGUCAGUGGCGGUGCCGUCCGGCUCCGAGCGUAGUAAUUUUUCUCGCUUUGGAGGCCCGGGCGCGUGCUUGCCAUCAACCCCCAAUUUUUUUCAGGUUGACCUCGGAUCAGGUAGGGAUACCCGCUGAACUUAAGCAUAUCAAUAAGCGGAGGA
rnacentral:misc_RNA from 1 species